AAAGUGAUGAUGAGGUACAACAUGAUAUAUGCCCCUGUCUCGUCUUUACCGUAUUAUACCCAUGAUCCAUCUGCUGUAUGGCUCCAAACACCAGGCGCUUCUCCACUUAUUAAGAGAUAAUCAUGUUGGUCUUUCAGAGUAUUGCCGUUUGGUGUCUUCUCGUAGCAGACCUGCACUUUUUUGCCACCGCAUUAGAAACCUGUAAAACAGCCUGGUUUGAUGAAGGAAAUGUUUCCAGAGAAGGAGACUCGGAGCUCUUGACUGACUUGAGGAGGAAGCAUCAGAUGAGGAUCUGCUCUGACCCAGUGGAUAUUGAAGCUCAGACAGUUUCUGGGAUCAAAGUACAGCACAGUGGGAACACUUUCCACACGUAAAGAAUCAAAAUCUCUCGUACUGAGUUCAGGAUUCUGUGUAU